rnacentral:lncRNA from 1 species
UCCUGCCAGGCGGAUGACAUCAGGAAUGCUCAUCAACUUGAGGGCGAAGAAAUGCUUGGCGGUCUUCUCCUUCACCGGGUGCACCCGCCCGAACGUCCCAGUGCCCACGGUGGCCAGUGUGUCGAAGUCCUGCAGGCGGUGGGCAGGCGGCUCCGGCGACCAGGCCUUGGGGCUGGGGCAGAAUGCGGCUGAUUCACAACUCAAGUAGCACAGUGAAGGUGGACAAUUUGGACUGCCUAAGCAUCCCAGCAUCGUCUGUUCUACAUAUCACUAUUCCAAAUGGCAUGCUGCUGUGUUUGUGAAUCCAGCCUCCCACAUUGGGUAUGUCACCAUUGGCCUAUAACAACUGGAAUGACACAUCUUCACUAGAGGCAGGCCUUGGCCAUCCUCCACAGCAGACUAUUGAGUAACAAAAUAAGCAGUACUAUUUAUUUACUUCUUACUAUGCUGUUUAAAAAAAAAGCCUCUGAUGAAAUCCUGGUGGCUUCUUCUCUGUUCUUACCAAUCCAGGAAGUGUAGAGAGCUGUUGAGCCCUGUUUCCAAAUCCCCAGGUGAAGCUGCGCUGACAUGCCUUCUGUCCAUACAGCCCUUUCCAAGACUCAGCUAUUUGUGAUCACCCCCAAAUGUUACCCUGAUUCUAUUACCAAUUUGUAAUAAAACUCACUUGUAUGGUGGAAAGGCUGUUGCCAAUUAAUUUUAUUUUCGUCACCCAUUUUCCCUUCCAUGUAAUCGUCAAAUUGUUUAUUGUACAUAUUAAAAAUGACACACA